rnacentral:lncRNA from 1 species
UUUAAUUGAAAUUAAUCCAAAAUGGCAAAAUUAAAAGAAUUAAUUAAGGAUCAAAUUGAACAAUCCAGGAAUUAAGGACUGUUUUGUAAACAGUGUUAUAAUUUAGGGAUUUAAUUGAAAUUAAUCCAAAGGAGCAAAAUUAAAAGGAAUUUUUAAUUGCUUAGAGGUCCAAUUGCCGAACUUCCAAAGUUCAGGGGUCAAAAUGAAAAUGUCCAUUGCUGCUUGAAACGUCGCCGUUGCUGCCGAAACAUCGCCGUUGCUGGUGGAACAGCCGUGUUCGUCUUCUCCAUCCCGAUUCAACAGGCUGAAAAUCUGCAACGUAUUCGAUCCAAUCGAGGACCAUGUCUCUCGCCCACGAUCUCGUUUGUGGAAGAUAACAGUCCUGCAAAGGCAGGACUGGUUAGAGGCAAUCAGGUGGGGAGUCUAUAAAAGGGAGAAGAAAACCUAGAACAGGGACGGAGAAAAAUCAACCCAAAAAACAGAGCAAAAACAGAGAGCAGAAAUACAGAGCAAAAAAAAGAGCAGAACACUGGAAACAGAGAACGAGUGAAAGACGAAAACAGGGAGGGGCAGAACUGAAGCUAAACCCAGACGAAAAACCAGAAACCGGAGAAAAGAACAGAGGAAAAACAAAGCAUAAAUCCAGAGAAAGAAAUAAUACACAGAGAGACGGAGAGAACAAGAGAGCAGCAAUACACAGAGACGAGUAUUGGCCCUGCCAUUGCCUUCGUCCCUGCAAACAACGAAAACCCAGAAUCAAAACAAAUUCCCAGCAGGCCGGCCUCUUCAUCAUCUUCUCGGUUUCAAAAGCUGCUGAGAAAACAAAAAGAACACGCAGACAAGUGAACACAGAAGGAAGAUAAGGGGAAGCAAUAGGCGAGAAUCCAUCAGCGCUGCAAGCAUCUUCGCCUCCCGAAGCAGGUACGCUCUUUCCUUUCUCCUUUCAUUCCCUGCAUAUUGU